CAGAGAACCCAACGGGCCGGGUAUCAAGUGAGAGGAAGGAUGACUGAUCGUCAGUUUGAUAGGCCGCCUGUGACAUAUGCUUUUCUGUUUAAGAAGCUGAUGGAUCUUGGGUUGGUUCAGCCGAGGACGUUGGCUCCGGUAAGACCAGAUCAGAGGCCUGCAAGCUAUGAUGAGAACGCCAAGUGCGAAUUCCAUUAUGGUGCCUCUGGACACAAUGUUGAGAAUUGUAAAGCCUUCAAGCAUGUUGUCCAAGACCUGGUGGACUCCAAGGCCAUUAAUUUUG
rnacentral:lncRNA from 1 species